GCUGGAGCUGGAGCUACCCCUUCCUCCAAUGGGCAGGUUUAUUGUCAGAUGUAUGAAGAGCCUGCAACCCAACCCAGGUGACCAUUGUGACUUUAUGGCAUUGUAUACUGAAGCUAUUGGAAUCUCUAAAGUAGAUGUGAUAAAAACCAGGACAGUGGAGAUUAACCUCCUAUCCCCGUGUUCCAUCCACCCCGGAAAUCACCUGUCCUGGAAGCUCAUCUGACAGAAUUAGGGAUCCGUGGGGGGCUAGCAAGCAGGAGGCGGGAAUAACUGUGGAGGUGCAUGGACGGAUCUCAGCUCAAAAAAGUACUCCUCUUUAAUGGGCCUUCUUCUUCUCCACCACCCCCUACUAUGUCAUAUUCCUAGCAAAAGUGAGGGGGUAUAUGAGACUCGC